rnacentral:rRNA from 1 species
GAUGAACGCUGGCGGCGUGCCUAAUACAUGCAAGUCGAGCGAACAGAUGAGAAGCUUGCUUCUCUGAUGUUAGCGGCGGACGGGUGAGUAACACGUGGGUAACCUACCUAUAAGACUGGGAUAACUCCGGGAAACCGGGGCUAAUACCGGAUAAUAUUUUGAACCGCAUGGUUCAAUAGUGAAAGACGGUUUCGGCUGUCACUUAUAGAUGGACCCGCGCCGUAUUAGCUAGUUGGUAAGGUAACGGCUUACCAAGGCGACGAUACGUAGCCGACCUGAGAGGGUGAUCGGCCACACUGGAACUGAGACACGGUCCAGACUCCUACGGGAGGCAUCAGUAGGGAAUCUUCCGCAAUGGGCGAAAGCCUGACGGAGCAACGCCGCGUGAGUGAUGAAGGUCUUCGGAUCGUAAAACUCUGUUGUUAGGGAAGAACAAAUUUGUUAGUAACUGAACUAGUCUUGACGGUACCUAACCAGAAAGCCACGGCUAACUACGUGCCAGCAGCCGCGGUAAUACGUAGGUGGCAAGCGUUAUCCGGAAUUAUUGGGCGUAAAGCGCGCGUAGGCGGUUUCUUAAGUCUGAUGUGAAAGCCCACGGCUCAACCGUGGAGGGUCAUUGGAAACUGGGAAACUUGAGUGCAGAAGAGGAGAGUGGAAUUCCAUGUGUAGCGGUGAAAUGCGCAGAGAUAUGGAGGAACACCAGUGGCGAAGGCGGCUCUCUGGUCUGUAACUGACGCUGAUGUGCGAAAGCGUGGGGAUCAAACAGGAUUAGAUACCCUGGUAGUCCACGCCGUAAACGAUGAGUGCUAAGUGUUAGGGGGUUUCCGCCCCUUAGUGCUGCAGCUAACGCAUUAAGCACUCCGCCUGGGGAGUACGACCGCAAGGUUGAAACUCAAAGGAAUUGACGGGGACCCGCACAAGCGGUGGAGCAUGUGGUUUAAUUCGAAGCAACGCGAAGAACCUUACCAAAUCUUGACAUCCUUUGACCGCUCUAGAGAUAGAGUCUUCCCCUUCGGGGGACAAAGUGACAGGUGGUGCAUGGUUGUCGUCAGCUCGUGUCGUGAGAUGUUGGGUUAAGUCCCGCAACGAGCGCAACCCUUAAGCUUAGUUGCCAUCAUUAAGUUGGGCACUCUAGGUUGACUGCCGGUGACAAACCGGAGGAAGGUGGGGAUGACGUCAAAUCAUCAUGCCCCUUAUGAUUUGGGCUACACACGUGCUACAAUGGAUAAUACAAAGGGCAGCGAAUCCGCGAGGCCAAGCAAAUCCCAUAAAAUUAUUCUCAGUUCGGAUUGUAGUCUGCAACUCGACUACAUGAAGCUGGAAUCGCUAGUAAUCGUAGAUCAGCAUGCUACGGUGAAUACGUUCCCGGGUCU